UCUAACUGGAGAGGGUCUCCGCCGGCGUCGGCCUGCACCGGCGAGGUCAGGCGCGACCUGGCUUCUAGGGCGGCUUGACUACAGUCUACAGGUGACCACGUCCCUUUUCUCCCCUUCUCCCGUAUGUAUCUCUCUAUGUUGUUUCUCCUCCUUUCUCACACGAAGAAACACACAGAGCAGUAAACAAUGGGAGGAUUUGGGGGCUGCUCAGUUUUGGAUAUGGGGGCUGCACGGGCUUGGAGCAGCAAGCCUUGGCAACGAAGUAUACCCAUAUUAUAAUUAAAGGAGAGGAGUUGUACCGCCUUGCACAUAAUGCAUUUUAAUUCCUUAUUUCUCACAUCCCGAAGGUCACAUUACAUCUAUGAACCAGAAGAACUAGAGAGCUGGGUCGACAUAUGAAGACGCGGGAGCUAAAGCAAAUAGACUGCAAGGCAAUGUGAAGCUGGGACAUUCCUAUCAGGCGUGACCUUGUAGCCAAAUCCAUGAGGAGUCAGAGGCAGUUGCAGCAACUAACCAUGAAGCGACGGCGGAGAUCCAGUUCAUCUUUUAGGUCUGACCAGCACAAGGUGGCAACAGCAGUAGUGGAGAAGGCAUGAAGAGGCCCACAUCUAAAAAUCCGUUCUGCUGACGAUCAAGGGAGAUGGUCUUAGCAUCCACUAUGACAAUGUUGUCCAGAACAUGGACGACUCUGGAAACUGAAAAGUAACAGAUUUUGCUUCCAGGCACACAAAGGCCACCGAUCGGAUCGGCGUGAAGAAACCCGUUCGGACCGCUGCCGCAUGCCUCGCCUCAGCAACGGAUCAACCUCUGCACCUACAUCCAUUUUGACAGGUCGUCGGUCAAAGCAGGUCUAUUUUACCCUCCUUCAUGCGGAUGAAUCUGAUCAAGUUUAUUUCAAAUUCCAAUCUAGAGUAGUUACACUUUUUCGCCUCUGCCUGCCUGCUUCUAGCAGGGUUGCAUUUCUCCAAUUUUCACAGCUUCAAGUCAAUACCUAUGAAUUGUGUAUGUGAUUCAUCAUCGUUCAAUUAUCCCGUACCCUAUGUGAAUUAUAUGCUGAAGUACAGGUUGACAACAACCUACUAGAUGUACAUACUUUUCUAGCUGGUACACAGUAAAAAGAAAGGGCUUGAGUAAAUGCACAUUGUUCAUUUCAUAUCUAUCAGAAGUUCCUGCAUAUAUUUUCCAGUAGCCAUAAUCAA